CCUAUAUUAUAUGAGGUAGAAUACACCUAACUCACAAUCGAUGUGGGAUUAAAUCCCCCACAAUAGUAGCCCCACAAUAUUUCUGCUUUGGCUGUAUCAUACCGUAGCCUAUACGCUUGCGGCUCUUGGGCCGUAGUUGAUGACCACUUGUGGUUGCCGUAGCUUAUAUGCUUGCAGUCCUUGGACUAUAGCUGGUACGCUUGCGGUUGUCGGGCCUCACGGCUUUGUCCUCUGAGCUUUGGCCCAAAAAGCGCCUCUUGAGAGAGAGAGGAUCUCCUAUCUUACAUAAGGU
rnacentral:lncRNA from 1 species